GACGGGGGAAUGCUUAGUACGGCGAGUGAAGCGGCAAAAGCUCAAAUUUGAAAUCUGGUACCUUCGGUGCCCGAGUUGUAAUUUGGAGAGGGCAACUUUGGGGCCGUUCCUUGUCUAUGUUCCUUGGAACAGGACGUCAUAGAGGGUGAGAAUCCCGUGUGGCGAGGAGUGCGGUUCUUUGUAAAGUGCCUUCGAAGAGUCGAGUUGUUUGGGAAUGCAGCUCUAAGUGGGUGGUAAAUUCCAUCUAAAGCUAAAUAUUGGCGAGAGACCGAUAGCGAACAAGUACAGUGAUGGAAAGAUGAAAAGAACUUUGAAAAGAGAGUGAAAAAGUACGUGAAAUUGUUGAAAGGGAAGGGCAUUUGAUCAGACAUGGUGUUUUGUGCCCUCUGCUCCUUGUGGGUAGGGGAAUCUCGCAUUUCACUGGGCCAGCAUCAGUUUUGGUGGCAGGAUAAAUCCAUAGGAAUGUAGCUUGCCUCGGUAAGUAUUAUAGCCUGUGGGAAUACUGCCAGCUGGGACUGAGGACUGCGACGUAAGUCAAGGAUGCUGGCAUAAUGGUUAUAUGCCGCCCGUCUUGACCCACGGACCA
rnacentral:rRNA from 1 species